ACCUUCCCAUGACUAAGGGAUAACCUGCCGAAAGGCAGACUAAUACCUUAUGGUCUUCACUGACGGCAUCAGAUGUGAAGUAAAGAUUUAUCGGUUAUGGACGGGGAUGCGUCUGAUUAGCUUGUUGGCGGGGUAACGGCCCACCAAGGCAACGAUCAGUAGGGGUUCUGAGAGGAAGGUCCCCCACAUUGGAACUGAGACACGGUCCAA
rnacentral:rRNA from 1 species